rnacentral:lncRNA from 1 species
GGGGCUAUUUUAUGUACAUGUAUUUGAAGAUUCAUGAACCAAGAACAUACAUGGGGACGUUUUAUGCAAGUUCCAUGCAUAUCUAAGAUGUCCAUUCAAGUAUUCAAGGUAUAUUAAAGCCUCAUUCGGCCAAGGGAGAUGUAGGAGUAUUAAAGGGCUGCACAUUCAUGGCAUUAUGGCUAUUCUUCAAGGCUAAGUAUGCAUGAAUGCAUCAAGUGAAGCAACAUGAUGGUUCGG